rnacentral:rRNA from 2 species
AAUCGACCGCCUGGGGAGUACGGCCGCAAGGUUAAAACUCAAAUGAAUUGACGGGGGCCCGCACAAGCGGUGGAGCAUGUGGUUUAAUUCGAUGCAACGCGAAGAACCUUACCUGGUCUUGACAUCCACAGAACUUUCCAGAGAUGGAUUGGUGCCUUCGGGAACUGUGAGACAGGUGCUGCAUGGCUGUCGUCAGCUCGUGUUGUGAAAUGUUGGGUUAAGUCCCGCAACGAGCGCAACCCUUAUCCUUUGUUGCCAGCGGUCCGGCCGGGAACUCAAAGGAGACUGCCAGUGAUAAACUGGAGGAAGGUGGGGAUGACGUCAAGUCAUCAUGGCCCUUACGACCAGGGCUACACACGUGCUACAAUGGCAUAUACAAAGAGAAGCGACCUCGCGAGAGCAAGCGGACCUCAUAAAGUAUGUCGUAGUCCGGAUUGGAGUCUGCAACUCGACUCCAUGAAGUCGGAAUCGCUAGUAAUCGUAGAUCAGAAUGCUACGGUGAAUACGUUCCCGGGCCUUGUACACACCGCCCGUCACACCAUGGGAGUGGGUUGCAAAAGAAGUAGGUAGCUUAACCUUCGGGAGGGCGCUUACCACUUUGUGAUUCAUGACUGGGGUGAAGUCGUAACAAGGUAACCGUAGGGGAACCUGCGGUUG